AUCACCCGUUGUCUUUCCUGGUAC
rnacentral:siRNA from 1 species